GAUGCUUUGGUGCCUUCGGGAACCGUGAGACAGGUGCUGCAUGGCUGUCGUCAGCUCGUGUUGUGAAAUGUUGGGUUAAGUCCCGCAACGAGCGCAACCCUUAUCCUUUGUUGCCAGCGGUCCGGCCGGGAACUCAAAGGAGACUGCCAGUGAUAAACUGGAGGAAGGUGGGGAUGACGUCAAGUCAUCAUGGCCCUUACGAGUAGGGCUACACACGUGCUACAAUGGCAUAUACAAAGAGAAGCGACCUCGCGAGAGCAAGCGGACCUCAUAAAGUAUGUCGUAGUCCGGAUUGGAGUCUGCAACUCGACUCCAUGAAGUCGGAAUCGCUAGUAAUCGUGGAUCAGAAUGCCACGGUGAAUACGUUCCCGGGCCUUGUACACACCGA
rnacentral:rRNA from 1 species